CCCAAACGACACUCUUCGUUAAAUUUCCGGAAUCGUUUGCUUAGCUUAGCUUAGCUUCACCGCCGGUCCACCGUCGCGGCUAAUGUAAGCCUCGUUUCCUCUGGUUUCACAUGAACUUCACUCCUCCGCCUCUCCUUUUUGUUUUCCCCGUUUCUUCACGCGAUUUAUUAUUUUGUUUGAUUAUUUUCUUAUCGACAAAUUGAUAUUUUCUUUUAGUUCAUGAACUUUGAGUAAUUGAUUAAGUUGUAAUUAUUGAAUCAUUUGAAUUAGAGCGGGGAACUUAUUAUUAUGUAGCUUAAAGGAAAACAAUUUUAACUCUUCUCAGUAAUUGCUUUUAAUGGCUUUAUUUAUGUAAUUUCUUACUUGAUCAUUGCUUGUAUAUGGAGGAAGAUAGUGGACAUGUUGAAUUGCUGGUGAGAUUUUGCUUUGCGGUUGUCGUUCUGAUGUUGAAAUCGUGCUAAAUUUUAUAACUUCUAAUUUUACUUCCCUCGAAAAAUACAUAUAUUGUUGCGGCUAUUGGGGGGUGGUGGAAUUAUGAUGAUGAUUAUUUGAUAAUUUAAACAUUAUUAUAAUUAAAAAGGUGAAGCAACAAUCAAGCACUGAAACAACCAAUCCAACGGUAGCUGAAAACCCAUCAUUCUAAUAGCAAAAUAAUCCAUAGAUUGUGCCUUAAAAAUUCAACAAUAUAUUAAUGUCUGCUAAAGGACUCCUUUAGGUGUUUAUCUAAGAUUUGUAUGUGAACCCCUUUUUCUUCUGCUGCUGAUUAAGUAAUUCUUAGUGCUGAUGGUGUGUUGAAGUUUUAGGUGUAAAUGGGUAAGAUGAUUAGGACAGAUAAUGACUGCUGAUAAGUGGUGUAGUUUAAUAUGAUAAUGUGGUCGGUGGUCCAUAAGCGUACACCUUGGUUGGGCAGAUGAGGUUUUGAGAAAAAUAUAUUUACCCGUACAGAAUGACUGUGCCCAGCAUGUGGUCUUGAGAUGGCCAAGGUAGCUCUUGAUUAGGACUUGCUUUUGGACUUCAUAUACUGUCUUUCUCUUGGUCAUUACAAUGUUGAAUAGCUAGUGCAGAGAAAUUUUUUCUAAUUUGUCGUCUUCUUGUACAUGUAUGUGGUUUGAUAUUGAUGGAGUGUCCCUUAAAUUCACCUCCCCUCUUUUAAAGAUAUGAUGAUUGCUACUAAGAUAACUACUCCUGAGGAUAUAUUAUAUGCAUCUUUCUUUACCUCACAUAUUUUGACAGUAGGUUUGGUGAAUUGCUCUCUUGUUUUGUAUUCUAUGUUCACCAUGAACUUAUUGGUUUCAGUUUUCGAACACAAGUGGAACCUUGUUGUUCCCGUCCUUUUCCCAUUUCAGAUUGUUCUUUUGGAACUACUACCUAAGAUCUUUUUCAAAGUGUGAAAUUGGCAUUUGCUUUUAUACCAUUAUUUAAAAUGAAAGCUUGUGGGUUUACAAUAGAAUAGUGAUGUUUAUAGAAUGCCUACCAUUUCUAUACUUUUAAUGAUUAAAUUUUGCCUUCAUGUGAGUGACAUGAUUUUCCAUUCUUCUAACAGGAAAACAAAAAAAUCAAAUGCUUCUUUUAAUUCGUCUAAUAUAGUCACCAUCCCCUUUUAAUCAUGUGAGUCGUUAUUUGAUCAGAUUUCCUAGUUAACCAAGAUGAAACAUGUUAAACGUCUUUCUACCCUUAACUCUGUGGUUGUGUCAGUGGAAAAGGGGGGAAGAAUGAGUAGGUGGAAAGAGUUUGAAGAUGUCAGCUUCGUUUUCCUAUUAAAGAAUGAACAAACUUUUUUCAUUCCUCUUCUCUUACGUUCUGGCUAAUAUGAAUGCUCUCUCUGUAUCUAUUGGCCUUUGUAGUGGAUAGACGUGUUUAUGUUUCAAUAAGCAUCUUAUAAGAACCAAAAUCUUUCUUCGACAUGAAAUAUGCUACCAAGUCAAGGCUUUAAACUCGACUUACAUAAAUGCUUUCAUUUUGACCAUUGCUGUUCUUACUCCUUGCUGGCAUGAAAGCUAAGACUGGUUUUACAUGAUGCCAAAGUUGUUUGUUAUACAAUCAUGUAUCUGUUACACAUUUCGUCUUCACCGGCGCAUUUGUGUAAGAAUGCCAUUAAAUAUUUUUCCACUUCUUUGGAAAAAGGGCGAAAGGUGUUAAAUUUGUUGUAACAUGAGUCUUCUCAAUUGUUUGUUCUUUUUAUUGGACUGAAAGCUUAUGAAACCUGACAUUUCUGUUUGAUUCUAUUUACUUUGUGGUACAUAUUCAUUCACAUAUGGUUGCCAUCUAGUUGCUGUCACCGACAUGCCACAUCAUGACUAAUCAGUUACUGCAGCAUUUCUCUUUCAUUUCUGGUGAAAGAAAAUGUCUUUGUACCUUUCAAUUGAACGCGACAAGCGGAAGAGUUGUCUUGCUACUACAUGUGGGAUGAAACAAUGUAACUAUUCCUCUUAUAAUUUCAUCUCAUCAAUAGCAGCUCACAUCAAUUCACAUUACACAUUCCGUAAAACAGUUGAUUUUAAUAGUUAAUUUGUGUAAAUGUUAUUAAUCCGUGUUAUACUUUUAAUCCCUUAACGUAGAUGACAUUUUACUUACCUUAUUCUGGUGUCAAUGGCAAAGACAUGAUUGAAGCGAAAACCAUCAUAUGCGUGACAGAGUAUCUUUUUAUAUAUAGCAUGAUAUGAUACAGGUGUGAAAUACCGUCUUGUGAUGUGGACUUUGAUUGGUGGUGGGGAUCCACUGACUGCAUUUGAUUCAAUAUGGUAAAUAAAAUUUAGAAAAUGGGGGUCUUCAGUCCUUACUUGCUGAGAGUUUCGGUGAGUGGAAGGUCGCAUUUGAAGCUGGUUUCGUACGAGGAUGACAACCUGGUUAUGGCAACCUCAUGUGUUUACGUGUACUGCCUGCCUUUAGCUUAAGAUGAACACCUUCCUAUUUUCCACAGCAACAUGCUAGAGAGAGAUUAAUAUACAGGCCAGUCGGACAAUCUGGCAUGGAAUAUUCUUAC
rnacentral:lncRNA from 1 species